rnacentral:rRNA from 1 species
GACGGGGGGGGCAAGUGUUCUUCGGAAUGACUGGGCGUAAAGGGCACGUAGGCGGUGAAUCGGGUUGAAAGUGAAAGUCGCCAAAAAGUGGCGGAAUGCUCUCGAAACCAAUUCACUUGAGUGAGACAGAGGAGAGUGGAAUUUCGUGUGUAGGGGUGAAAUGCGCAGAUAUCAGGAGGAACACCGGUGGCGAAGGCGGGUCUCUGGGUAGUAACUGACGCUGAGGAACGAAAGCGUGGGUAGCGAACAGG